rnacentral:rRNA from 1 species
GGUUAAGCGACUAAGCGUACACGGUGGAUGCCCUGGCAGUCAGAGGCGAUGAAGGACGUGCUAAUCUGCGAAAAGCGUCGGUAAGGUGAUAUGAACCGUUACAGCCGGCGAUGUCCGAAUGGGGAAACCCAGUGCAAUUCGUUGCACUAUCGUUAACUGAAUACAUAGGUUAACGAGGCGAACCGGGGGAACUGAAACAUCUAAGUACCCCGAGGAAAAGAAAUCAACCGAGAUUCCCCCAGUAGCGGCGAGCGAACGGGGAGCAGCCCAGAGUCUGAAUCAGCUUGUGUGUUAGUGGAACGGUCUGGAAAGUCCGACGGUACAGGGUGAUAGUCCCGUACACCAAAAUGCACAGGCUGUGAACUCGAAGAGUAGGGCGGGACACGUGGUAUCCUGUCUGAAUAUGGGGGGACCAUCCUCCAAGGCUAAAUACUCCUGACUGACCGAUAGUGAACCAGUACCGUGAGGGAAAGGCGAAAAGAACCCCGGCGAGGGGAGUGAAAAAGAACCUGAAACCGUGUACGUACAAGCAGUGGGAGCACCUUCGGGUGUGACUGCGUACCUUUUGUAUAAUGGGUCAGCGACUUAUAUUCUGUAGCAAGGUUAACCGUAUAGGGGAGCCGCAGGGAAACCGAGUCUUAACUGGGCGUUAAGUUGCAGGGUAUAGACCCGAAACCCGGUGAUCUAGCCAUGGGCAGGUUGAAGGUUGGGUAACACUAACUGGAGGACCGAACCGACUAAUGUUGAAAAAUUAGCGGAUGACUUGUGGCUGGGGGUGAAAGGCCAAUCAAACCGGGAGAUAGCUGGUUCUCCCCGAAAGCUAUUUAGGUAGCGCCUCGUGAAUUCAUCUUCGGGGGUAGAGCACUGUUUCGGCUAGGGGGUCAUCCCGACUUACCAACCCGAUGCAAACUACGAAUACCGAAGAAUGUUAUCACGGGAGACACACGGCGGGUGCUAACGUCCGUCGUGAAGAGGGAAACAACCCAGACCGCCAGCUAAGGUCCCAAAGUCAUGGUUAAGUGGGAAACGAUGUGGGAAGGCACAGACAGCCAGGAUGUUGGCUUAGAAGCAGCCAUCAUUUAAAGAAAGCGUAAUAGCUCACUGGUCGAGUCGGCCUGCGCGGAAGAUGUAACGGGGCUAAACCAUGCACCGAAGCUGCGGCAGCGACACUAUGUGUUGUUGGGUAGGGGAGCGUUCUGUAAGCCUGCGAAGGUGACCUGUGAGGGUUGCUGGAGGUAUCAGAAGUGCGAAUGCUGACAUAAGUAACGAUAAAGCGGGUGAAAAGCCCGCUCGCCGGAAGACCAAGGGUUCCUGUCCAACGUUAAUCGGGGCAGGGUGAGUCGACCCCUAAGGCGAGGCCGAAAGGCGUAGUCGAUGGGAAACAGGUUAAUAUUCCUGUACUUGGUGUUACUGCGAAGGGGGGACGGAGAAGGCUAUGUUAGCCGGGCGACGGUUGUCCCGGUUUAAGCAUGUAGGCUGGUUGUCCAGGCAAAUCCGGAUAAUCAAGGCUGAGGUGUGAUGACGAGGCACUACGGUGCUGAAGUAACAAAUGCCCUGCUUCCAGGAAAAGCCUCUAAGCAUCAGGUAACAUUAAAUCGUACCCCAAACCGACACAGGUGGUCAGGUAGAGAAUACCAAGGCGCUUGAGAGAACUCGGGUGAAGGAACUAGGCAAAAUGGUGCCGUAACUUCGGGAGAAGGCACGCUGGUGUGUAGGUGAAGUCCCUGCGGAUGGAGCUGAGACCAGUCGAAGAUACCAGCUGGCUGCAACUGUUUAUUAAAAACACAGCACUGUGCAAACACGAAAGUGGACGUAUACGGUGUGACGCCUGCCCGGUGCCGGAAGGUUAAUUGAUGGGGUUAUCCGUAAGGAGAAGCUCUUGAUCGAAGCCCCGGUAAACGGCGGCCGUAACUAUAACGGUCCUAAGGUAGCGAAAUUCCUUGUCGGGUAAGUUCCGACCUGCACGAAUGGCGUAAUGAUGGCCAGGCUGUCUCCACCCGAGACUCAGUGAAAUUGAACUCGCUGUGAAGAUGCUGUGUACCCGCGGCAAGACGGAAAGACCCCGUGAACCUUUACUAUAGCUUGACACUGAACAUUGAGCCUUGAUGUGUAGGAUAGGUGGGAGGCUUUGAAGCGUGGACGCCAGUCUGCGUGGAGCCAACCUUGAAAUACCACCCUUUAAUGUUUGAUGUUCUAACGUUGGCCCCUUACCGGGGUUGCGGACAGUGUCUGGUGGGUAGUUUGACUGGGGCGGUCUCCUCCCAAAGCGUAACGGAGGAGCACGAAGGUUAGCUAAUCCUGGUCGGACAUCAGGAGGUUAGUGCAAUGGCAUAAGCUAGCUUGACUGCGAGCGUGACGGCGCGAGCAGGUGCGAAAGCAGGUCAUAGUGAUCCGGUGGUUCUGAAUGGAAGGGCCAUCGCUCAACGGAUAAAAGGUACUCCGGGGAUAACAGGCUGAUACCGCCCAAGAGUUCAUAUCGACGGCGGUGUUUGGCACCUCGAUGUCGGCUCAUCACAUCCUGGGGCUGAAGUAGGUCCCAAGGGUAUGGCUGUUCGCCAUUUAAAGUGGUACGCGAGCUGGGUUUAGAACGUCGUGAGACAGUUCGGUCCCUAUCUGCCGUGGGCGCUGGAGAAUUGAGGGGGGCUGCUCCUAGUACGAGAGGACCGAAGUGGACGCAUCACUGGUGUUCGGGUUGUCAUGCCAAUGGCACUGCCCGGUAGCUAAAUGCGGAAGAGAUAAGUGCUGAAAGCAUCUAAGCACGAAACUUGCCCCGAGAUGAGUUCUCCCUGAGACUUUAAGUCUCCUGAAGGAACGUUGAAGACGACGACGUUGAUAGGCCGGGUGUGUAAGCGCAGCGAUGCGUUGAGCUAACCGGUACUAAUGAACCGUGAGGCUUAACCUU